rnacentral:rRNA from 1 species
CGUGUAGGCGGCUAGGUAGGUCCGUUGUGAAAACUCGAGGCUCAACCUCGAGACGCCGAUGGAAACCAUCUGGCUAGAGUCCGGAAGAGGAGAGUGGAAUUCCUGGUGUAGCGGUGAAAUGCGCAGAUAUCAGGAAGAACACCCGUGGCUAAGGCGGCUCUCUAGUACGGUACUGACGCUGAGACGCGAAAGCGUGGGGAGCGAACAGGAUUAGAUACCCUGGUAGUCCACGCCGUAAACGAUGGGUGCUAGGUGUGGGGGGUGUCGACUCCCUCCGUGCCGAAGCUAACGCAUUAAGCACCCCGCCUGGGGAGUACGGCCGCAAGGCUAAA